CACCGCGGUUAUACGAGAGGCCCAAGUUGACAAACCAACGGCAUAAAAAGUGGUUAGUAUAAUUACCCAACUAAAGCCAAACACCUUCAAAGUUGUUAUAUGCUAUCGAAGGCAGGAAGAACCCCCACGAAAGUGGCUUUAUACUAUACAACCCCACGAAAGCUAGGAAA
rnacentral:rRNA from 1 species